rnacentral:rRNA from 1 species
AUUGAACGCUGGCGGCAUGCUUUACACAUGCAAGUCGAACGGCAGCGCGGGCUUCGGCCUGGCGGCGAGUGGCGAACGGGUGAGUAAUGCAUCGGAACGUGCCCAGUAGUGGGGGAUAGCCCGGCGAAAGCCGGAUUAAUACCGCAUACGACCUGAGGGUGAAAGCGGGGGACCGAAAGGCCUCGCGCUAUUGGAGCGGCCGAUGUCGGAUUAGCUAGUUGGUGGGGUAAAGGCUUACCAAGGCGACGAUCCGUAGCUGGUCUGAGAGGACGACCAGCCACACUGGGACUGAGACACGGCCCAGACUCCUACGGGAGGCAGCAGUGGGGAAUUUUGGACAAUGGGGGCAACCCUGAUCCAGCCAUGCCGCGUGCGGGAAGAAGGCCUUCGGGUUGUAAACCGCUUUUGUUCGGGAAGAAAUCCUCUGGGCUAAUACCCCGGGGGGAUGACGGUACCGGAAGAAUAUGCACCGGCUAACUACGUG